rnacentral:rRNA from 1 species
UACGGAGGGUGCGAGCGUUGUCCGGAAUCAUUGGGCGUAAAGGGCGCGUAGGUGGCCUGCUAAGCGUGCGGUGAAAGUCGGGGGCUCAACCCCCGAUCGGCCGUGCGAACUGGGAGGCUUGAGCACUGUAGAGGCAGGCGGAAUUCCGGGUGUAGCGGUGGAAUGCGUAGAGAUCGGGAAGAACAUCAGUGGCGAAGGCGGUCUGCUGGGCCGUUGCUGACGCUGAGGCGCGACAGCGUGGGGAGCAAACAGG